GUGGCGAACGGGUGCGUAACGCGUGGGAACCUGCCCUUAGGUUCGGAAUAACAGUUAGAAAUGACUGCUAAUGCCGGAUAAUGUCUUCGGACCAAAGAUUUAUCGCCUUUGGAUGGGCCCGCGUAGGAUUAGCUAGUUGGUGUGGUAAUGGCGCACCAAGGCGACGAUCCUUAGCUGGUCUGAGAGGAUGAUCAGCCACACUGGGACUGAGACACGGCCCAGACUCCUACGGGAGGCAGCAGUAGGGAAUAUUGGACAAUGGGCGAAAGCCUGAUCCAGCAAUGCCGCGUGAGUGAUGAAGGCCUUAGGGUUGUAAAGCUCUUUUACCAGGGAUGAUAAUGACAGUACCUGGAGAAUAAGCUCCGGCUAACUCCGUGCCAGCAGCCGCGGUAAUACGGAGGGAGCUAGCGUUGUUCGGAAUUACUGGGCGUAAAGCGCGCGUAGGCGGCUUUUCAAGUCAGGGGUGAAAUCCCGGGGCUCAACCCCGGAACUGCCCUUGAAACUGGAUGGCUAGAAUACUGGAGAGGUGAGUGGAAUUCCGAGUGUAGAGGUGAAAUUCGUAGAUAUUCGGAAGAACACCAGUGGCGAAGGCGACUCACU
rnacentral:rRNA from 1 species